UGGGGAAUAUUGCACAAUGGGCGCAAGCCUGAUGCAGCCAUGCCGCGUGUGUGAAGAAGGCCUUCGGGUUGUAAAGCACUUUCAGCGAGGAGGAAGGUGGUGGACUUAAUACGUUCAUCAAUUGACGUUACUCGCAGAAGAAGCACCGGCUAACUCCGUGCCAGCAGCCGCGGUAAUACGGAGGGUGCAAGCGUUAAUCGGAAUUACUGGGCGUAAAGCGCACGCAGGCGGUUUGUUAAGUCAGAUGUGAAAUCCCCGGGCUCAACCUGGGAACUGCAUUUGAAACUGGCAAGCUAGAGUCUCGUAGAGGGGGGUAGAAUUCCAGGUGUAGCGGUGAAAUGCGUAGAGAUCUGGAGGAAUACCGGUGGCGAAGGCGGCCCCCUGGACGAAGACUGACGCUCAGGUGCGAAAGCGUGGGGAGCAAAACAGGAUUAGAUACCCCUGGUAGUCCACGCUGUAAAACGAUGUCGAUUUUGGAGGUUGUGCCCCUUGAGGCGUGGNUUCCGGAGCUAACGCGUUAAAUCGACCGCCUGGGGAGUACGGCCNCAAGGUUAAAACUAAAUGAAUUGC
rnacentral:rRNA from 1 species